rnacentral:misc_RNA from 1 species
UAAUAUUUUUAACCGACUUCCAAAAAAGGAGGAGGUUCUCAAUUCGACUGUAUUUUUUUUUUUUUUUUAUAUAUGUUACAUCAGAACUUUUGACCAGGUAGACCGAUUUCGACAAAUUUUGUUUUAAUCGAAAGGUGGUGUGUGCCAAUUGGUCCCAUUUAAAUUUAUUUGAGAUCUAACAACUACUUUUCAAGUUACGAGUAUAUCCAAUAAUGCGUUUUUACUUGACGCUUUUUUCGUCGACCUACGUUGUAUUAUACCACAUAACUUUCUACUGGGUGUACCGAUUUUGAUAAUUCUUUUUUUGUUGGAAAGGGAAUAU